rnacentral:rRNA from 1 species
CCUACGGGAGGCAGCAGUGGGGAAUAUUGGACAAUGGGCGCAAGCCUGAUCCAGCAAUGCCGCGUGAGUGAUGAAGGCCUUAGGGUCGUAAAGCUCUUUUACCAGGGAUGAUAAUGACAGUACCUGGAGAAUAAGCUCCGGCUAACUCCGUGCCAGCAGCCGCGGUAAUACGGAGGGAGCUAGCGUUGUUCGGAAUUACUGGGCGUAAAGCGUACGUAGGCGGUUAUUCAAGUCAGAGGUGAAAGCCCGGGGCUCAACCCCGGAACGGCCUUUGAAACUAGGUAGCUAGAAUCUUGGAGAGGUCAGUGGAAUUCCGAGUGUAGAGGUGAAAUUCGUAGAUAUUCGGAAGAACACCAGUGGCGAAGGCGACUGACUGGACAAGUAUUGACGCUGAGGUACGAAAGCGUGGGGAGCAAACAGGAUUAGAUACCCUGGUAGUCCACGCCGUAAACGAUGAUAACUAGCUGUUCGGGCACUUGGUGCUUGAGUGGCGCAGCUACGCAUUAAGUUAUUCCGUCCGUCGGGUAGGUACGGUCGGCGAAGAAUUAAAACUUAACAAAGGAAAGUUAGUACGGCGUGAGACGUGCCGACGGACGACGACGAGGGAGGUAGG